rnacentral:rRNA from 1 species
AUUGAACGCUGGCGGCAGGCCUAACACAUGCAAGUCGAACGGUAACAGGAAGCAGCUUGCUGCUUCGCUGACGAGUGGCGGACGGGUGAGUCAUGUCUGGGAAGCUGCCUGAUGGAGGGGGAUAACUACUGGAAACGGUAGCUAAUACCGCAUAAUGCCGCAAGACCAAAGAGGGGGACCUUCGGGCCUCUUGCCAUCGGAUGUGCCCAGAUGGGAUUAGCUUGUUGGUGGGGUAACGGCCCACCAAGGCGACGAUCCCUAGCUGGUCUGAGAGGAUGACCAGCCACACUGGAACUGAGACACGGUCCAGACUCCUACGGGAGGCAGCAGUGGGGAAUAUUGCACAAUGGGCGCAAGCCUGAUGCAGCCAUGCCGCGUGUAUGAAGAAGGCCUUCGGGUUGUAAAGUACUUUCAGCGGGGAGGAAGGGGGUAAAGUUAAUACCUUUGCUCAUUGACGUUACCCGCAGAAGAAGCACCGGCUAACUCCGUG